rnacentral:rRNA from 1 species
AUGAACGCUGGCGGCGUGCCUAAUACAUGCAAGUCGAGCGAACGGACGAGAAGCUUGCUUUUCUGAUGUUAGCGGCGGGCGGGUGAGUAACACGUGGAUAACCUACCUAUAAGACUGGGAUAACUUCGGGAAACCGGAGCUAAUACCGGAUAAUAUUUUGAACCGCAUGGUUCAAAAGUGAAAGACGGUCUUGCUGUCACUUAUAGAUGGAUCCGCGCUGCAUUAGCUAGUUGGUAAGGUAACGGCUUACCAAGGCAACGAUGCAUAGCCGACCUGAGAGGGUGAUCGGCCACACUGGAACUGAGACACGGUCCAGACUCCUACGGGAGGCAGCAGUAGGGAAUCUUCCGCAAUGGGCGAAAGCCUGACGGAGCAACGCCGCGUGAGUGAUGAAGGUCUUCGGAUCGUAAAACUCUGUUAUUAGGGAAGAACAUAUGUGUAAGUAACUGUGCACAUCUUGACGGUACCUAAUCAGAAAGCCACGGCUAACUACGUG